rnacentral:rRNA from 1 species
UACGUAGGGUGCGAGCGUUAAUCGGAAUUACUGGGCGUAAAGCGUGCGCAGGCGGUUCGCUAAGACCGAUGUGAAAUCCCCGGGCUUAACCUGGGAACUGCAUUGGUGACUGGCGGGCUAGAGUAUGGCAGAGGGGGGGUAGAAUUCCACGUGUAGCAGUGAAAUGCGUAGAGAUGUGGAGGAAUACCGAUGGCGAAGGCAGCCCCCUGGGCCAAUACUGACGCCUCAUGCACGAAAGCGUGGGGAGCAAACAGGG